rnacentral:rRNA from 1 species
UGGCUCAGGACGAACGCUGGCGGCGUGCUUAACACAUGCAAGUCGAACGGAAAGGCCCGCUUGCGGGUACUCGAGUGGCGAACGGGUGAGUAACACGUGGGUGAUCUGCCCUGGACUCUGGGAUAAGCCUGGGAAACUGGGUCUAAUACCGGAUAUGACCCUUACAUCGCAUGGUGUUUGGUGGAAAGCUUUUGCGGUUCAGGAUGGGCCCGCGGCCUAUCAGCUUGUUGGUGGGGUAAUGGCCUACCAAGGCGACGACGGGUAGCCGACCUGAGAGGGUGAUCGGCCACACUGGGACUGAGACACGGCCCAGACUCCUACGGGAGGCAGCAGUGGGGAAUAUUGCACAAUGGGCGCAAGCCUGAUGCAGCGACGCCGCGUGAGGGAUGACGGCCUUCGGGUUGUAAACCUCUUUCACCAGGGACGAAGCGCAAGUGACGGUACCUGGAGAAGAAGCACCGGCCAACUACGUGCCAGCAGCCGCGGUAAUACGUAGGGUGCGAGCGUUGUCCGGAAUUACUGGGCGUAAAGAGCUCGUAGGCGGUUUGUCGCGUCGUCUGUGAAAUUCUGCAACUCAAUUGUAGGCGUGCAGGCGAUACGGGCAGACUUGAGUACUACAGGGGAGACUGGAAUUCCUGGUGUAGCGGUGAAAUGCGCAGAUAUCAGGAGGAACACCGGUGGCGAAGGCGGGUCUCUGGGUAGUAACUGACGCUGAGGAGCGAAAGCGUGGGUAGCGAACAGGAUUAGAUACCCUGGUAGUCCACGCCGUAAACGGUGGGUACUAGGUGUGGGGCUCAUUUCACGAGUUCCGUGCCGUAGCUAACGCAUUAA